AAGCAGUGCGCGUGUUUGAUCCGCGUCGCCCCGACUUCCGUCCACUUCGUCGCACAAGAAUAUUUUUAGAUAACAGUGCGAAUAAUUUAUGAGCGAGUUAGUGAUCGCGCGCGCUUUUGUGGAUCUGGGGAUCGCGUGCGGGCCGGAGUUGGCGACGAGCGGCGCAGACGUCCCGAUAGUAGUGGCAACAUCGCGGACGUCUGUCAUUGUGCCGAUAUUUGACUUCCGUGGCUGAAUGAGAAGACAACGGGUUUUGAUCAUUGGUCAGGCAGCCUGCGAUCGCUGAAGCCUGAGUCAUCAUGAUGUCAUGUGAACUGUUAAUGGAAGCGACCUAGUCACCGCGUCCCAUUCCACGGCAUUUGUUAAUCAAGCGAUGACAAAUACAUUCAUAUGGGAUUCGAAUUGGCAACUUUGAAGCGUCGAAGACGUUCGCGAGAAGAGAGAAGCAUAUGGGGAAUAUAGAUGUACGAGACUGGUUUUCAUAAUGAUUUGACAGAUUGUUGAUUAUUCUGAGAUCAUUGUGAAAGCUGAUUUUGUUGCUAUUUCGUCGGGUCUGCCGUUGAAGAUGGAAGAAAUACAGCUGACAUACGCCGUUUGUCUAUACAAUGCCUUGAUUUCUUAAAUUAUCCUAUUAAGUAAUAUCUUGCCUUUCUUGGCGUGCGUCCGUGCAGUCGCUAUGCCAACUUAAUGGCCGACAGGCUUGCCCUGCAUGUUUCAGUAUGACAACUGUAUCUGUUAUUCUUACUUAAACAUUUUAUUGAGUUAAAACCUUUAACAACUACUAGUAUUAGAUAUCCUACUAUUUAUUUCCAAUUAGAUAUAGAUUAAAAUUCUUCAGUAUAAAAACCUUAUAAUUACGUAGGUAUAUAUACUUCACAACUUUUAUUAUUGUAUAAAUUAUUAAAAAAUCAAUUAGAUUGUCCAUUACUUAUGUCCAAGAUUGGAUUAUGUAGGUACCAGCUUCUAAUUGUCGUUAUAGUAGGUACAUAUCAGCCAUUACAUGUUUGGUUUUUAGAAAUAAUUAUGGCUCAAAUUCACCCAUCCAAGUUGCUUCAAAAUUAUGUAAUAGUAAAUUCAAUAGUAAUACUUAUAAUCAUGGGUUUUUUUAUCAUUCAUUCAUCAUCAGCUGGAAGACGUCCACUGCUGGAUAAAGGCCUCCUUCAAAGAUUUCUAUGACGAACGGUCCUGCGCUGCCCUCAUCCAACGUAUUCCGGCGAUCUUGCCCAGAUCGUCGAUGCAUCUUGUGGGGUGCCUACCAACACUGCGUCUUCCGGUAGUGGUCGCCAUUCGAGGACGUUACUGCCCGAUUUAUAAUGUACAAUCAUAGGCAUAAAUUUUAAGAAAUAUGUUAAGGAACCCUUAUAAUUUAUCUAAACUGCGAAUAAAUUAGGUAUAGGUUUUUUUUUUAUAAUAUUUUUUAACAUACAAUAAAGUUCACUUACACUUAAACACACACACUUAAACUUUAGGAAGCUUAUCUGUGUGUGAAGCCGCUUAAAAUUAAAUUACAUAAUAUUUAAAAGGAAAAGAGAAAUUAUUUUCAUUUAAUACAGUAUUACAAGAUGUUAUUUUAAACAAAGUAGUAUCAAUCAAAUCAAUAAAAUGCAUAAUAAAAAAUAAUUAUCAAGUAAAUGUUAGUAAUUACAAAUUAGUUGUCUACGUUUAGGUAUAAGUAUUAAAUGUAAGAAUUUUAAAAUUAUAAGUAGUUAUAGUAUUAAUUGUAUAUCAAAGUUCAUACUACUUUAAGCCCUUUUAAUAUAAAAAUAAAUAAAUAAAUUUCUAAUGUCCUUAUGUAAUAAUAUUUCGGUAUACAUGACUAAUUUGUAAUAUGGGUUCAUGCGUACCUAUACCUAUACCAUAUACCUACUCUUAUUGUGCUAUUUUUUAAUAAAAUAUGUAGUACUUUAUAAAUGAUCAAAAUUAAAUGUUAUUUGAUAA